rnacentral:tRNA from 1 species
CAGGGUGUAGUUCAGCCAGAAGAACGCCUGCUUCGGGAGCAGGAGGCCGCCGGGGCAGAUCCGGCCACCCUGA